AGCUUGCUCCCGGAUGUUAGCGGCGGACGGGUGAGUAACACGUGGGUAACCUGCCUGUAAGACUGGGAUAACUCCGGGAAACCGGAGCUAAUACCGGAUAGUUCCUUGAACCGCAUGGUUCAAGGAUGAAAGACGGUUUCGGCUGUCACUUACAGAUGGACCCGCGGCGCAUUAGCUAGUUGGUGAGGUAACGGCUCACCAAGGCGACGAUGCGUAGCCAACCUGAGAGGGUGAUCGGCCACACUGGGACUGAGACACGGCCCAGACUCCUACGGGAGGCAGCAGUAGGGAAUCUUCCGCAAUGGACGAAAGUCUGACGGAGCAACGCCGCGUGAGUGAUGAAGGUUUUCGGAUCGUAAAGCUCUGUUGUUAGGGAAGAACAAGUGCAAGAGUAACUGCUUGCACCUUGACGGUACCUAACCAGAAAGCCACGGCUAACUACGUGCCAGCAGCCGCGGUAAUACGUAGGUGGCAAGCGUUGUCCGGAAUUAUUGGGCGUAAAGGGCUCGCAGGCGGUUUCUUAAGUCUGAUGUGAAAGCCCCCGGCUCAACCGGGGAGGGUCAUUGGAAACUGGGAAACUUGAGUGCAGAAGAGGAGAGUGGAAUUCCACGUGUAGCGGUGAAAUGCGUAGAGAUGUGGAGGAACACCAGUGGCGAAGGCGACUCUCUGGUCUGUAACUGACGCUGAGGAGCGAAAGCGUGGGGAGCGAACAGGAUUAGAUACCCUGGUAGUCCACGCCGUAAACGAUGAGUGCUAAGUGUUUAGGGGGUUUCCGCCCCCUUAGUGCUGCAGCCUAACGCAUUAAGCACUCCGCCCGGGGGAGUACGGUCGCCAAGACUGAAAACUCAAAGGAAAUUGACGGGGGGCCCGCCACAAGCGGUGGAAGCAUGUGGGUUUAAUU
rnacentral:rRNA from 1 species